UACGUAGGGGGCAAGCGUUGUCCGGAAUCAUUGGGCGUAAAGAGCGUGUAGGCGGCCUGAUAAGUCGGCUGUGAAAGUCAAGGGCUCAACCCUUGAAUGCCGGCCGAUACUGUCAGGCUAGAGUCCGGAAGAGGCGAGUGGAAUUCCUGGUGUAGCGGUGAAAUGCGCAGAUAUCAGGAGGAACACCGGUGGCGAAGGCGGCGUCCUGGACCAACACUGACACUGAUGAGCGAAAGCCAGGGGAGCAAACGGG
rnacentral:rRNA from 1 species